AUGAACGCUGGCGGCGUGCCUAAUACAUGCAAGUCGAGCGAACAGACGAGGAGCUUGCUCCUCUGACGUUAGCGGCGGACGGGUGAGUAACACGUGGAUAACCUACCUAUAAGACUGGGAUAACUUCGGGAAACCGGAGCUAAUACCGGAUAAUAUAUUGAACCGCAUGGUUCAAUAGUGAAAGACGGUUUUGCUGUCACUUAUAGAUGGAUCCGCGCCGCAUUAGCUAGUUGGUAAGGUAACGGCUUACCAAGGCAACGAUGCGUAGCCGACCUGAGAGGGUGAUCGGCCACACUGGAACUGAGACACGGUCCAGACUCCUACGGGAGGCAGCAGUAGGGAAUCUUCCGCAAUGGGCGAAAGCCUGACGGAGCAACGCCGCGUGAGUGAUGAAGGUCUUCGGAUCGGAAAACUCUGUUAUUAGGGAAGAACAAAUGUGUAAGUAACUAUGCACGUCUUGACGGUACCUAAUCAGAAAGCCAAGGCUAACUACG
rnacentral:rRNA from 1 species